rnacentral:rRNA from 1 species
UACGGAGGAUCCGAGCGUUAUCCGGAUUUAUUGGGUUAAAGGAGCGUAGGCGGCCCGUUAAGUCAGAGGUGAAAGACGGUAGCUCAACUAUCGCAGUGCCUUUGAUACUGACGGGCUUGAAUACAGAUGAGGUGGGCGGAAUGUGACAAGUAGCGGUGAAAUGCAUAGAUAUGUCACAGAACACCGAUUGCGAAGGCAGCUCGACUAAGCUGAUUAUUGACGCUGAGGCUCGAAAGCGGUGGGGAUCAAACAGG